GACGAACGCUGGCGGCGUGCUUAACACAUGCAAGUCGAACGGGCCUGUCUUCUUUUUUGGGGGGUGGGUUGAGUGGCGAACGGGUGAGUAUCACGUGAGUAACCUGCCCUUCGGUCCUGGAUAACCGCUUGAAAGGGCGGCUAAUACGGGGUGGUCCGGUUGGUCCGCAUGGGCUGGUCGGGAUAGAUUCACUGUUUUUGGUGUUUCGGCGGGGGAUGGGCUCGCGGCCUAUCAGCUUGUUGGUGGGGUGAUGGCCUACCAAGGCGGUGACGGGUAGCCGGCCUGAGAGGGUGGGCGGCCACACUGGGACUGAGAUACGGCCCAGACUCCUGCGGGAGGAAGCAGUGGGGGGUAUUGCACAAUGGGCGGAAGCCUGAUGCAGCGACGUCGCGUGAGGGAUGGAGGCCUUCGGGUUGUGAACCUCUGUUUCCGGUGGUGAAGGCCCUGUCCGUGUGGUGGGGUUGACGGUAGCCGGGGAUGAAGCGCCGGCUAACUACGUG
rnacentral:rRNA from 1 species